GAUAAACGCUAGCGGCAGGCUUAACACGUGCAAGUCGAGGGGCAGCAUAGAUUGUAGCAAUACAAUUGGUGGCGACCGGCGCACGGGUGCGUAACGCGUAUGCAACCUACCCGUCACAGGGGGAUAAUCCGGAGAAAUCAGGUCUAAUACCCCAUAACAUAUGGAUCGGCAUCGGUUCAUGUUGAAAUUUUCGGAGGUGACGGAUGGGCAUGCGUAGCAUUAGCUUGUUGGUGAGGUAACGGCUCACCGAGGCGACGAUGCUUAGGGGGACUGAGAGGUUUUCCCCCCACACUGGUACUGAGACACGGACCAGACUCCUACGGGAGGCAGCAGUGAGGAAUAUUGGUCAAUGGGCGCAAGCCUGAACCAGCCAUGCCGCGUGCAGGAUGACGGCUCUUUGAGUUGUAAACUGCUUUUGUACGAGGGUAAAGUGGGUUACGUGUAACCUUUUGAAAGUAUCGUACGAAUAAGGAUCGGCUAACUCCGUGCCAGCCGCCGCGGUAA
rnacentral:rRNA from 1 species